AUGGUAUACAAGUACCUAUGCUUCAAGCUUAGUCUUCAAAUCCGAUCAUUCCCUCCAAAUUGUGUCCAUAAAACUACAAACCCAUGCAUCUGCCCCUACCUGCAAAAACAGUACACAAUAGUCCAAACUUUGCUCAAAAUGGACAAACAAAAACUUGUAUAAAAAAGCAUUAAAACAGUUCCACAAUUUUGUUCAAAAGCUAUCCUAUCCCCCUACCUACUUCAGUCCUUGAAACAACAACCUACCUCCUUCAGUCCUUGAGAGCCACAUAAUACCAAUACAAAAAUCGUAUGAAACUCCUCUCCUUCAAUUCAUUACCUUAAACCACCGUUGUUAACUUCACCUUCAGCAACCCUAUCAAACUCACCCCCACCCCACCAUCCACAAUCUGACUUAUCAAACAUCACUCAAUCACUUUCACUCAAGCCGUCAACAGAUUCAUUUCAACCCGGUAGAUCUUUUGUUGUUCUCCAGUUUUCCUCUUCGAAUUUGCAUAUGCAAUUCAAACGAAGGUCGAGAGUCGAAGAGAAGAAACCCUAUAGGAUCGGAGAUGAGAAAAAGCAAAGGAAGUUGCAACUGAGAAGAGAUAGAGAUCAUGAACGGAAGUUCGAGUGACCAAGACGAAGACGUGAGGCCUGUUGAUGUUGUGUUUCAGAAACACAAAUCAAAUACAUGAAUAUGCACCCGAUAUAUUCAGCACCCACCUGCUACCACUAUCUGAGUCGUGCACUUUAAUCUUUAUCUUCAGUGGUGCAAUGUCAUAAAAAAAUUUAAUAUAACAUUGGGUAUAGUGGUUCAUUCAUCUUUAUUAAUUUGUAAUUAUCUUUGUUUGUCUUAUUUAGGAUUGGCUGAGAUAAUUACAAAUUAACACAGAUGAAAGUACCAUUAUAACUCAUGCUAUAUUAAAUUUUUUUUUCUGACAAUGCAACACCGGAGAUAGAGAUUCAAGUGCACAAUUUAUAUACUGGUCGCAGAUAGGUGUUGAAUAUAUCCGGGUAGUGGUCACUGUUGAUGCAUAUUCAGGUAUUCGAUUUGUGUUUCUGAAAUUUACAUAGAACCCGACAUAAUUUGCUGUAAUGGGUUGUGUUGUGUGUUUGAAGUUUGUUGAAAUACUAGUGGUUGAUCUUUAUUGUUCUGUUUUGAGUAACAUUAUGCGGGUCUAUAUGUGUCAUGGUUGUUAGGUCAAAUUGUGUUGAUGUUUUGAAUUUCUGUGAUGGAUAGGUGAGGUUGCUGCCAAUGCAAGAUGUAGAUAUAUGAACAAAAGGAAUCUGAAAAUAUCUAACUGCAACCUUUGUUGACUAUGUUCUAA